GAAGACAUGAGACUUUUUGAAAUCACUAAGACAGAAAGUGUAACCAGAGAAGACAUUUACAAAAGAUUCCUGGAGCAAUCAGAAUUUAUAGAUUUAGUUUAGAAAUCUGUUUAGGAAUAGAUGAUGCAGAAAAAAGGAAAUUCUUUUAGCAGCCAAGUCCAAGAGAAGGAGAGCAAGAUGGGAUCCAGGGCACGAGUUUACCAGGGCCUGAGACUACGGAUAUAGGUUUUCUGGCUCCUAUAAUUUAUGAUUUUGCGCUGGGGAAGCAGAAAGACCGAACGUUCCAGUCUGACGUGGGGAAGCACUAAGGGCCUCCUUCUGUUCUGAUGGAGAAACCAUUUUCCCGUGAAGCACGUGCAGGACUUCACCUCCUUCCUGCUGGGUCCACAUGCAGUGUUGGGAACACCACACAACUCAGAGAGCCCAUGUGAAGGCCCUUUGUGAAGAGCUGUGCCUACUGCAAACCCAUUUCUUAACCUACUUCCAGUCGUAUCUUUCACCACAUAACAUUUUAUUUCUUAUUCGCCCAGGAGGAAAUAGAAGUCUUGGGUUAGACAGAAUGGCCUGGUUUAUGGCUUAAUUACACUGCCCCCAAGUGUGAGUUCCUGAGGAUCUACCGCUGGGGUGACCAUCCGUCCCAGUUUGCCCAACACUGAAGGGGUUUUCCAGGACAAGAGACUGCAGUGCUAACACAAGGAAAAUCCACGGCAAAUUGAGAGGAAUUGGUCACCCCACCUACCACAUCUGUGUCAAAGAUAUAGCCUUCACUGCUUUUCUAAGGAUAAACACCCCUGGACGCCAUACUUCUUUUCUUGGUGGGGAGGUGAGAACAGUGCUGAUUCUGUGCCUGUGUAAACAAGGGAGACCUCACGCUAGCUGGCCUGGACAGGGCGAAUGAACCUCAAGAAGAAUUGCCAACCAGACAUUUUCAUUCCAUCGAGCUGCCCCAAAUUUUAUUUUGGGUGUUUUACUUCUAGAAAUCAUCAUCGGCAUUAUUUUUUGGCCAUUUGGAGAGCAGCAAAGAAUAAAGUUUUCCUAAUCUAACUUUUCUGUACUAUUUGGCUAACUUUCCUUUUCACGCAAAAUUAAAAUUUUGCUGUUAGAUAGGAUUCUAAUCAUUAGGGA
rnacentral:lncRNA from 1 species